UACGUAGGGUGCAAGCGUUGUCCGGAAUUAUUGGGCGUAAAGAGCUCGUAGGCGGUUUGUUGCGUCGGCUGUGAAAACCUGAGGCUCAACCUCAGGCCUGCAGUCGAUACGAGCAGACUAGAGUGCGGUAGGGGAGAUUGGAAUUCCUGGUGUAGCGGUGGAAUGCGCAGAUAUCAGGAGGAACACCGAUGGCGAAGGCAGAUCUCUGGGCCGUAACUGACGCUGAGGAGCGAAAGCGUGGGGAGCGAACAGG
rnacentral:rRNA from 1 species